rnacentral:lncRNA from 1 species
AUUACACAAACCCCUCUGACCCUUCCCGCAUUGAUGUUUGAGGCCAUGAGAGAGACCCUGAACAGGUCCAAGGCUCACUUGCCUUUUGGUAUGGCACUCACCUUAGGCUUUAGGAGGUUCGGAGUCAAUUUUGAGGGGGAGGCAGUUGCUAGACUAUCUCAUUCCGACACCAUCAACCACCACACACUGCAUCGCAUGGGUUUUUCUAAGACUGAUGGCGGUUGGACAAAGAGUGUUGAGGAGAGGG